rnacentral:rRNA from 1 species
CAAACCAAAGCUGGCGACCGGCGCACGGGUGAGUAACACGUAUCCAACCUGCCUCAUACUCGGGGAUAGCCUUUCGAAAGAAAGAUUAAUAUCCGAUAGCAUAUAUUUCCCGCAUGGGUUUUAUAUUAAAGAAAUUCGGUAUGAGAUGGGGAUGCGUUCCAUUAGUUUGUUGGGGGGGUAACGGCCCACCAAGACUACGAUGGAUAGGGGUUCUGAGAGGAAGGUCCCCCACAUUGGAACUGGGACACGGUCCAA